CCUACGGGAGGCAGCAGUGAGGAAUAUUGGUCAAUGGGCGGGAGCCUGAACCAGCCAAGUCGCGUGAGGGAAGACGGUCCUAUGGAUUGUAAACCUCUUUAGGCGGGGAGCAAUGCCGGGCACGCGUGCCCGGAGGGAGAGUACCCGCAGAAUAAGCAUCGGCUAACUCCGUGCCAGCAGCCGCGGUAAUACGGAGGAUGCGAGCGUUAUCCGGAUUGAUUGGGGUGAAAGGGUGCGUAGGCGGAUUUUUAAGUCAGCGGUAAAAUGUCCGGGCUCAACCCGGGCCGGCCGUUGAAACUGGGGAUCUUGAGUGGGCGAGAAGUAUGCGGAAUGCGUGGUGUAGCGGUGAAAUGCAUAGAUAUCACGCAGAACUCCGAUUGCGAAGGCAGCAUACCGGCGCCCGACUGACGCUGAGGCACGAAAGCGUGGGGAUCGAACAGGAUUAGAUACCCUGGUAGUC
rnacentral:rRNA from 1 species